rnacentral:rRNA from 1 species
GGGUUGUGAGGUUAAGCGACUAAGCGUACACGGUGGAUGCCCUGGCAGUCAGAGGCGAUGAAGGGCGUGCUAAUCUGCGAUAAGCGCCGGUAAGGUGAUAUGAACCGUUAUAACCGGCGAUACCCGAAUGGGGAAACCCAGUGUGACUCGUCACACUAUCAUUAACUGAAUCCAUAGGUUAAUGAGGCGAACCGGGGGAACUGAAACAUCUAAGUACCCCGAGGAAAAUAAAUCAACCGAGAUUCCCCCAGUAGCGGCGAGCGAACGGGGAGGAGCCCAGAGCCUGAAUCAGCAUGUGUGUUAGUGGAAGCGUCUGGAAAGGCGCGCGAUACAGGGUGACAGCCCCGUACACAAAAGCGCAUGUGCUGUGAGCUCGAUGAGUAGGGCGGGACACGUGGUAUCCUGUCUGAAUAUGGGGGGACCAUCCUCCAAGGCUAAAUACUCCUGACUGACCGAUAGUGAACCAGUACCGUGAGGGAAAGGCGAAAAGAACCCCGGCGAGGGGAGUGAAAAAGAACCUGAAACCGUGUACGUACAAGCAGUGGGAGCCCCACCACCAAAGCAUUCUCUGGUGUUGAAGGCCCUGCAAAGCAGCAUCGCGGUGGCGGAGCGUCGUUUGCGACGCCCAACACACAAAACAAGCGGUGAGUGCUUUGGGGUGGGGUGACUGCGUACCUUUUGUAUAAUGGGUCAGCGACUUAUAUUCUGUAGCAAGGUUAACCGAAUAGGGGAGCCGGAGGGAAACCGAGUCUUAAUUGGGCGUUAAGUUGCAGGGUAUAGACCCGAAACCCGGUGAUCUAGCCAUGGGCAGGUUGAAGGUUGGGUAACACUAACUGGAGGACCGAACCGACUAAUGUUGAAAAAUUAGCGGAUGACCUGUGGCUGGGGGUGAAAGGCCAAUCAAACCGGGAGAUAGCUGGUUCUCCCCGAAAGCUAUUUAGGUAGCGCCUCGUGAAUUCAUCUCCGGGGGUAGAGCACUGUUUCGGCUAGGGGGUCAUCCCGACUUACCAACCCGAUGCAAACUGCGAAUACCGGAGAAUGUUAUCACGGGAGACACACGGCGGGUGCUAACGUCCGUCGUGAAGAGGGAAACAACCCAGACCGCCAGCUAAGGUCCCAAAGUCAUGGUUAAGUGGGAAACGAUGUGGGAAGGCCCAGACAGCCAGGAUGUUGGCUUAGAAGCAGCCAUCAUUUAAAGAAAGCGUAAUAGCUCACUGGUCGAGUCGGCCUGCGCGGAAGAUGUAACGGGGCUAAACCAUGCACCGAAGCUGCGGCAGCGAACGUAUCACUUAAAGCGAUUCAGCGGGUUACGAUUGACGGAGCGAAGCGACGUCAAAGCGUAUACAAAGUCGAGUCGGUUUAAGGAUACGUUCGUUGGGUAGGGGAGCGUUCUGUAAGCC